rnacentral:misc_RNA from 1 species
AACCAUAGAAACCUGCGGAGUACCUGCGGAGGGAUCAUUAACGUAUCUCUGGCGAGCGUCGUCGCGCCCUGCCGCGGUCCAAAAAGCCGCGCGGGCACCCGGCGCCGUCAAACCUUCACAAACCCACUGUGCACCUUUGCGGCAGAGGGCCUCGGGCGAGAGCUCGGGUCCGACGCCGAUCACAAACUCCAGUUCAAUAGAAUGACCAGUGACCAGCGUGUCGUCUAAAACACUUAACAA